rnacentral:rRNA from 1 species
UACAGAGGUCUCGAGCGUUGUUCGGAUUCAUUGGGCGUAAAGGGUGCGUAGGUGGCGCUGUAAGUCGGGUGUGAAAUCCUGAGGCUUAACCUCGGAACUGCAUUCGAUACUGCGGCGCUUGAGGACUGGAGAGGAGACUGGAAUUCAUGGUGUAGCAGUGAAAUGCGUAGAGAUCAUGAGGAAGACCAGUGGCGAAGGCGGAUCUCUGGACAGUUACUGACACUGAGGCACGAAGGCCAGGGGAGCAAACGGG